rnacentral:rRNA from 1 species
CAGCGCCACAAGUGGCAACCAGCAUUAUUGGGCCUAAAGCGUUCGUAGCCGGACUGAUAAGUCCUUUGUGAAAUCAUCAAGCUAAACUUGAUGGCAGGCAGGGGAUACUGUUAGUCUAGGAACUGGGAGGAGUAAGAGGUAUUCUGUGGGGAGCGGUAAAAUGCUAUAAUCCGCAGAGGACCACCUAUGGCGAAGGCAUCUUACUAGAACAGCUUCGACGGUGAGGAACGAAAGCUAGGGGAGCGAUCGGGAUUAGAUACCCCAGUAGUCC